GACAGAGGGUGCAAACGUUGUUCGGAAUUACUGGGCGUAAAGCGCGUGUAGGCGGCUUGGCAAGUCGGGUGUGAAAGCCCUGGGCUCAACCUAGGAAGUGCAUUCGAAACUCCCGAGCUGGAGUCCUGGAGAGGAAGGCGGAAUUCUCGGUGUAGAGGUGAAAUUCGUAGAUAUCGAGAGGAACACCGGUGGCGAAGGCGGCCUUCUGGACAGUGACUGACGCUGAGACGCGAAAGCGUGGGGAGCAAACAGG
rnacentral:rRNA from 1 species